CUGAAAUACUACAUACAACCAGUGGUGUAUUUUGGUUUUGUGCUACCCUAGGCAAUUUUUUAAAAUUUUACUCCACCCAGCCUCCCUACCUUUGGGAGUGGUGGCAUGGAGUCUCUAUGUCCCUGUGGUCCAGUGGAGUUGAUGGGCUGAGUGGCUUGGCGUGCGGUCCAUGGGGUCCAGUGGAGCUGCUGAGUGGCUGGGCGUG